rnacentral:rRNA from 1 species
AUUGAACGCUGGCGGCAUGCCUUACACAUGCAAGUCGAACGAGGGGCGAACGGGUGAGUAAUAUAUCGGAACGUCCCGAGUAAUGGGGAUAACCAAUCGAAAGAGUGGCUAAUACCGCAUAUUAUUCGAGCGGCCGAUAACUGAUUAGCUAGUUGGUGGGGUAAAGGCCUACCAAGGCGAUGAUCAGUAGCGGGUCUGAGAGGACGAGCGGCCACAAUGGGUCUGAGAAACGGCCCAGACUCCUACGGUAGGCAGCAGUGGGGAAUUUUGGACAAUGGGGGCAACCCUGAUCCAGCCAUGCCGCGGGUAUGAAGAAGGCCUUCGGGUUGUAAAGUACUUUUGUUAGGGAAGCGGUACCUAAAGAAUAAGCACCGGCUAACUACGUGCCAGCAGCCGCGGUAAUUC